ACAUUAUCCCAUUAGUAGGAGGUAGGGAGACACUGACUUUACCAUAGCCAAUAGCUGCCAUGACUCCUUCUACCUGAAGUUCAAAGCUGGGGAUGUCAGAGAGCACCAUGGGGAGUGUUGAACUGACCCAGAAAAGUGAGACAAGGAUGACACCAUGUUCUGUUCCCAGUCAUCAUGGCCUGGGUAAGAGAUGGGACACGUAGAGGGACCAGCAGGUGAAAGAAGCUUCGGCAGGCUUGGAUGUGACCUUGAGAAGAGAGCCAAACAAAGCUGUGUAGCUGUGGACCUGGCUGGUGACAGGACCCAGGCAAUGAAAGCAUACAGAAGGUUCCAGUGACAAUCGGAUCUUACCCUUCCCAGCUCCUGGCCACACACUUCAGGUUCCUAUAGGGUUUUGUCUUCUACAUCUGCAUAACAUAACAACCAACAAAUGUAACUCACCUUUAACCCCAGCACUUGGGAGGCAGAGGUGGAUCUCUGAGAGUUCCAGGCCAGCCAGAGCUACAUAGUGAGAUCCAGACUCAAAAAAUCAAAACCACAAAGAAAAUGCUUAGACACAUCUAAUCCUCCACGCAGUUUGGUUGCUGAGGAGAAACAUCAACCUCUCCCCUGCCCUCCCACCUUUGUCCCAGAGAGGCAUGGCCCUGCUCUUCCUGCUGGGGUGUGUCUUCUUCCCACUGUGCUUUGUGGUAUUACGCUGGGGGCUGCAGAAUCGAACCAGCUUACGGAUGGAGAGGCAAGAGGCUGUCUUGGUGGCAUCCAAGGUCUCCUAUGUAUUCCUGACUAGCCUGGGAUUUUUGCCGGGAUUUUGCUGUAUAGACCUGGUUGUCCUGGAAGCCCCAGGGCUCUGCCUCCUCUGUCUCCUGUGCACCCCAGGGCUCUGCCUCCUCUGCCUCCUGUCACCACUGUCUUUGGAUUUUCCUGAAGUGAAGCAAACAUAAGCUUGAAAUCCUACUUUACUAAUAAUGAACAUAGCUAUGUUAUCUUGACACUUUAAUAAACCCUCUAAGCCUUGGUUUCUCCUUCCUC
rnacentral:lncRNA from 1 species